GAAACAGAAACAGACGCAUCAGCUCAAUUCAGCUGGAUGAGCUGAAAUUAUUUUAGCUAAUUUGACAAAACAACUAUAUGUUUUGAUGUCAUUUUAUUUCUGGUUCAUCUGCGAGUUUAUUCUACUUUCGUGUGAACAGUGAAGACAUCUUGCUUUUUCUUGGAAACUCUAUUUAAAGGUAGAUACAGAGUUCUCCACUUUUACUUGUACCCCUGGUGAAUGUGUGUAAAAAUUCUUUAAAUAUUUUGUUUAUAUAAAAGUAGCAUAACUUGUAGCAGUAGUGGAAUAGCAGGGACGGUUUGGCUCCAAUCUGUUAUAAACCUUAAAUAGAGGAACCCUACAAUCGUUCUGUAUUAAAACAACUUGGCAAAGUUGAGUUGAUCAAAAUUCCUUCUCAGCAACGUAAAGACUCAUUUCCAGCUAGCAAAAACAUUUGAUGUCAGUUGUUGCCAUGGAGGGUGGCACAGCUCUAUAAGUAUAUUUAUUCGGUAGGGAAAAUAAAUAUGAAAAAAUAUCUGUUGCUACACAUUUUGACUCUUGCAAUAACUAUAAAAUAAAGUUAACUAUUGCAUUCUUAUUUUAUGUGUAUGCACGUCUGGGAUCUUAUAAUUAAAAAAAUAUGGCUUUCUUUUCUCUGACCCAUAAAUACAAUUUGACACAAAUGCCAGUAUCCACUUGAAAUUGGGAGAAAGAAUAGAACAAGACAUUAAAUUACAGUAAAUGUGUGUUCAUCAUCGGGAAAUGGCUGCUGCACAGGAAUAGCCAAAUGGGUGGAGAAGAUCCAUAUCUUGCCUCUGCACUCAGUGAGUCACUCAGUGAAGGAAAAUUCUUCAAAACUCACUUUUAGAAAAUGGAAGCAUUUUAGCAUGUGUAGUUGUAAUACAGACAAACAAUCUUUUAUAAUAAAGCCUUUCAUUUAUCUUCACAAGUUGUGCAGACUCUUAUGUGUAGCACUGCCGGAGCUGUCACUCAUCGUGCUUUAAAUGGAAUGGUAAAAAUAGCACGACGUGGUUAUCCACUUCCUGACUCUGAUCUGUUUGCAUUUUCACCCAUUAGUAGCAGUAAGUCCCAUAAGCUUUUCUACACUAUAUUUAGCCCAUUUUAAGUUUUAAUCUCAUGGGUGAGGCUAGACAAACAAACCUACGAAAUACAAAUUGCUUAAUUGUAAAGUUAAUCACCGACUCUCUUAAGUACCCUGUAUUUAAAUGUGCUGGAUUAUGCAUUGUUAUAUUUCUUAAUACACAUUUGUGGCUCUAAAGAGGGCUGAGCCAUCAAGAAAUUAGGAGUUAGUCACUGCGGUUUUCUCAGACGUCUGUGAGUGUAGUUUUAUUGUUUUUGUGUUAAUGAGCUUCUUUCCUGUGUGUCUUUGAAAACAUGUUGCAUGAGCAAAUAUGAAGACCAACGAACAAUGUUUUAGUUGAAUCUGUAAUACGAUAAUCACCAAUUAGUAACAAAGAGAACCUAACUGUUAUUUCAGCCAUGAAAGACAACAAAGAUACUGGUUGUAAUUAAUUAGUUCUUCCAAAAGCAAAGAAAAAUCAGCAUUUUAAUGAGUUUCCUUUCCUUAAUGAGUUUAAGAAGUUGCUGGCUAAUUGUGUCCACUUGGAAAAAGACAUGUUCAUAAAAUUCGUUGCGUGGGUUUUUUGUUGUUGUUACUUAUUCUAAGCUCAUUGUUGGGCAGGUGGUCAUAUAAAAUGCACCCCCAGAGCGCAAAAGCAUAGGAAGCACAAAGUGUUGUUACGGCGCGGCAACUAUUUGCUGACAGACUCUCGUAGUCAGCUUUUCUUUUUGGACAAUGGCAGACACUGCAUCAGGACGUUAGGCAACCUCAGAAACAAUUGCAGAGAUCUGUAGACUGUAAGAAAGCCAAACAGGAUUUCUUUCUGGAUAAUGUGUGAGUCACAGUCCAGCUGGAUCACAAUGCGGGAAGUCACUGAUCCUGGAAUGUCACACAUAGUCCAAGGGUCUCUGAUUCAACAGCUCAAAGAGAAACCAUCCUCUGCUGUAAACUUAACAAAACAACAGUGCCUACACCUUAUUUUCUGUAGCUUCUCCUUCAGUGUGUUUUUUAUUGUCAUGGUUACCUGUGGUGACUGUGGUUAACAAUUUCACAUAGCUAAAUAAAGCCACCACCUAAUCUGGCGUGCUGUUUCCACAUAACAAUUAAGAGAUUAAAAUGCAACACAGAUAGUACCAGAGCUGUCACCUGAAAAAGUUAAUGCAUGUUUUUGCACAAAACAGAGCUACACUUAGUUUAAAGGUUUUACAUCAUGCUGGGAUUUUGAAGAAAUUUAAGGAAGAGGGUUGUCACAGUAAAAAAAAAAAGAAGAAAAAAAAGACAAGAACAGGAAAGCACACAGGGCACUAAAACAGAGCUUCACUCUGCAGAAAGGGAGGAGAGGAGCUGCCAGCAGCGGAAUGCAAACUUUCCUGCUCUCUUUCCUAAUAUUUAUGGGCCCCGGAGCAACGCGUGUUUUCUCCUGUUCUGUGCCACUGCCCUCAGCAAUGGAAAAAAUACACUGCCACAAAAAAUAUCAAUGAUGUUUUCUUUUGGCCCUGAGCCAAGAAUUGAAUUGGUAACGAAGGACACCAGUUCUAUCAAGGAAACAUUAUAAUAACACUAAAUAAAUAAAUGCAUUGUUCCAAAGCACAAUGGAUAGUUUUCCUCUGGUUACAGCUUUGUGAGCGUAAAUGAGCUGCACUAAAAGUCAGCAAAGACCACUCACUAGUGGAGGCUCUUUAAAGAUGACCUCAUGUUUGAGGAAGCAUCUCAGCUCACCAGAAACAAGAAAUGCUACUUUAAAGAGCUCUUGUUACAAUAUUACCUAUCAAACAACCACAUAUUUAAAUUAGAAAUAACUGAAGGGAAUUGAUGCAGUCAAAUGUGCAGGCAUUCAUUUAAGAAAUCCAAACGUUUUUUUUACGGGGUGUCUAGAUGGUGACCACUAAAAAUUAUUAUUAUUAAAUGUAUUUUUGGGAAAUUAUUGGGGUGGCUCCUAUGACUAAAAAUAUCCAUUUUAGCCACAAUCACAUGAAUUUAGUUUGUAUUUCAUGAGUAAUAGGAAUUGCAACAAGCAAUUGAGACAUUAGGAAAUCAGUCAAACUAUUUAAUGAAAUGAUGGUGAUUAUAUAAUUUUAUAUAAUUAUAUACGUUUUUAUAAGUAAUGUUUUUGAAUGAGAUCUGGAAAAUAAAAAGCCCCAGUUGGCUUACAAAAAUGUAAACCAGUGGUUAACAUAGCAUCAUUAGCUUAUUUCUAAUUAAAAUUAGCUGAUGUUACGUAUGUGCGAAAUUGGUUUGGGUAUUGUUUGGUUGCAGGCUCAUCUAAAUGCUAUUUAUUAAUUUUAAACUCCUUUUGUAAAUCAAAUAGCUACUCUAUGCUUAACAAUUUAUGCUUUCAACAUUAAAAAAUAUCAGCAAAACGACGCUGUUGUGAGAAGUCAAAGAGGAAAUUCCUGAUUUGCUAAUGCUCAACCCAUACACACCCCAAACUAUUAUCACACACCUGAAGGUAAAUGCAACUUUUAUGUCUUCAGCUGAGCACUGAGCUGUGCAGACUUGUCAUGGGACGUUAAAGCACAACACGAAGCUCUUUAGCAAGAACACAGUCAUAUCCUGGCACCAGCAACUGACUUCCCAAAACAAAACACUUGAAGUCUCACAUAAACACUUUGGAUUUCUGACAGAGUUGUGCUGUUUAUGGUCAUGUACUCAAUUACUGCAGGUAUGUAAUUAUUUACAGGUAUUUGUAAACAAAGAAAGACUUCAUAUACAUUUAAAAUGUGAACCCUUGGAUUUUUCCAGCUAGGUAACAAGAAAAAUGAUGUAAACUCAUCCAGAUGUGUUUACAGAGCAGAGAGAAGAAGUGAAAAUCUAAGGAGGGGGAAAAGGAAGGGAAGAGCAGCUAGAUCUUUCCUGAUUCACAAAACUCCCAAAUGACACACACAAAAAAAGUCUUAACAGUGUAAUAACACUCUGUUAAACAUCAUCUAAAUUAUUGGUUAAGAUACAACAAGUCACCAUGUUAUUUUCUACCAUACCAUUCAAAUAUGAGUGAGGUUAAGGGGAGUGUGUUGAAAUGCUUUCGCAACAGGGUUACAGAUUACAAAAA